rnacentral:tRNA from 1 species
GCAUCCAUGGAUGAAUGGUUAAAGCGUCCAACUCAUAAUUGGCAAAUUUGUAGAUUCAAUUACUAUUGGUGACA